rnacentral:misc_RNA from 1 species
AAAGACAUGAAAAAGAGAGAAGCACAAGAGAAGAUGGUCUGGGCCAAUCUCAAAGAGAAGCUAGCACUGGUUCCCACUGAGCCCGUUAUAUCAUCCAUGGCCUUUGUUGCAUGGAAUCUUCUUCCUCUGUUAUUAUUUCUUCUUGGAUUGCCUCCUCCUUCAGGCUCAUCUUAGCCCCUUCAGUUGCCACAAACUUUUCAUCACCUAAAAUCAACCCUGUAUUUCAAUUAUCCAAGAUUCAUCAAAAAAAAUAUGCCAAAGAUUUGAGUGACAUUCUUGGCCUUUUCUUGGAAAAACUAUGGAAGUGA